rnacentral:rRNA from 1 species
CACGAACGCUGGCGGCGUGCCUAAUACAUGCAAGUCGAGCGCAGGAAACUGACGGAACUCUUCGGAGGGAAGGCAGUGGAAUGAGCGGCGGACGGGUGAGUAACACGUAAGGAACCUGCCUCAAGGAUUGGGAUAACUCCGAGAAAUCGGAGCUAAUACCGGAUAGUUCAACGGACCGCAUGGUCCGCUGAUGAAAGGCGCUUCGGCGUCACCUUGAGAUGGCCUUGCGGUGCAUUAGCUAGUUGGGGGGGUAACGGCCCACCAAGGCGACGAUGCAUAGCCGGCCUGAGAGGGUGAUCGGCCACAGUGGGACUGAGACACGGCCCAGACUCCUACGGGAGGCAGCAGUAGGGAAUCUUCCACAAUGGACGAAAGUCUGAUGGAGCAACGCCGCGUGAGUGAUGAAGGUUUUCGGAUCGUAAAACUCUGUUGUAAGGGAAGAACACGUACGAGAGGAAAUGCUCGUACCUUGACGGUACCUUACGAGAAAGCCACGGCUAACUACGUGCCAGCAGCCGCAGUAAAAC